GAUGGAGCAGAUUGAAGCAGCACGCGAAGUCGGCUUGUAAGCUGGUAGAUUAAUGUCCAUUGCAUUGCCAUCUCUGAAUCCUUCAUCUGCCUAACAACAGAAGCCUGAGAAAGUCCAAAAAAGAGGUCCUUUAGCUAAAGAUGAAUCAUAUACAGCUGCAAACUUUCUCCUCUGUAGCAUGGUGGUGGAGAAAUGUUCACUCUUAACAAUUUUCAGUUUCUCACACAAAGUUUUUAAUUCUUCUUGAUUCAAUUGCUUACUUUUUUUGGAUAUAUUUACUUUCCUAUUGGAUUCACAGACUGCAAUGAAAAGAUUUCUGCACUCAGCCCCCCAACUCAAGCCUUAAAUUUCUUCUCCAGCUACUGUCAUAAAUCAUAUUUCACAUCACAUCGAACACAUGAAACUCAUCACCACUUCAAUUAAGUGGUGUUAAAGAGUUGAGACUACUUCAACAAGGGUGUUAAAAGUUGAGACAAUAGCUAUUACUAUUAAACUUUAUAGACAAACCUUGUGAACAAGAAAUAUUAAUAUCAUUCUAGUAAUUCGUUGGAAUAAAUUGUUUUAACCAAAAAGCUGAAAAAAAGGUCAAGAAAAUAUAACCUGUAAGCGCUUCCCAAGCUGAACUUCAACUUCUGUACCAAAUGAAAUAUUACUAGCUAGAGAUUUAAGAGGAUCAACCGUGGGAUCAACAGAAAGCAAACUGGGAAUCUGAGGCGCAUAAACUAGCCUCCACCUCGCAUGUCCAAACUCUCCUUUCCCUUCUAUUCUUGGCAUUAAUGUUUCAAGGGUUGCAGUUGCGAGUUUCUUGAAUGCAAGCUGGCCAUCACCUUCUAAGAUGGAUUCAGCUAAUUGACUCUCAAACACUCUAGCAGCCUGUUUAAUGAGGGGAAAACACAACCAUCUUAAGAGAACAUGAAACACAUGUGCUAUAAAGUUGUUAAAGCCAUUUUGACCUAAAACCAUUUCUAGGUUACGGUGACCCACAUCAUGCCACUAAACCAGACAAGAUAUUAUUUGACCAUACUCUUUUUGGCAUGGGAAUUAGUCCCAGUGCAUGAAGAUGACACACCUAACAACAGACCAGGCAUGUAAGUUGCAGAACUUCUAUGUACUUGCGUGCAUUGCUAAUAGCUUCAUUAGAAUAUGUUUUAAGAAGUCCUUUUGCUCUCCAGAUGAAUGCAACAAUUACAUGCUUUGACAUUUUGUUGUUACCUCAGAAGGUGAAAGAACAUCUUGUUCCACAGAACGGGUAGAGGUGACAACCAGUUUAUCUUGCCAUUUGCUAGCCGGACUUUGAAUCCUGAAUUGCCACUCAGAUCCAACGAGAGCCAAGUCCAGCAUCGGAUCAAGUCCAUUAUCAGGCUCAAACUUUGCUAUAUUCAGAUGGUCUCUCUUAAGCCUAACCUGUGUUCAAAGAAAGUAAAGGAAUUCAACAAAAUUAGAUGUCACUUAUUUCAGGACCUUAACGCAUACUGGAUAUUGAGGAAGCUGAACUUUGCACACCAGAAAUUACAGAAGAUUGUAAAAGAAAUUAACCUGAGUUGCAACAAGAUUCACAUCACCAUUUUCAAAUGUUAAAAUGCCUUUAGGUUUUAUCAGUUUGGGAUGUGCUAUCCCAUUUAAAUCAAGCUCUCCACUGACGGCA
rnacentral:lncRNA from 1 species